AAAUAGCAAAGAAGCGCGAGGUUGCUGUAUACCCGAAUACAUAAGGGUUUGCAGGUUUUCACGCAGAGCGAAUGUCAAGUUAGGAAACUGGCGACAA
ncrna:unclassified sequences S10-Clostridia ribosomal protein leader